UACGUAGGGUGCGAGCGUUAAUCGGAAUUACUGGGCGUAAAGCGUGCGCAGGCGGUUCGUUGUGUCGGUGGUGAAAGCCCCGGGCUUAACCUGGGAAUGGCCAUGGAAACUGGCGAACUGGAGUGUGGCAGAGGGGGGUGGAAUUCCGCGUGUAGCAGUGAAAUGCGUAGAGAUGCGGAGGAACACCGAUGGCGAAGGCAGCCCCCUGGGCUAACACUGACGCCUCAGGCACGAAAGCGUGGGGAGCAAACAGG
rnacentral:rRNA from 1 species